rnacentral:rRNA from 1 species
GACGACGCUGGCGGCGUGCUUAACACAUGCAAGUCGAACGGUGACGAGGAGCUUGCUCCUCUGAUCAGUGGCGAACGGGUGAGUAACACGUGAGCAACCUGCCCCAGACUCUGGGAUAACAGUUGGAAACAGCUGCUAAUACCGGAUACGAGACGGAGAGGCAUCUCUACCGUCUGGAAAGUUUUCGGUUCUGGGAUGGACUCGCGGCCUAUCAGCUAGUUGGUGAGGUAAUGGCUCACCAAGGCGACGACGGGUAGCCGGCCUGAGAGGGCGACCGGCCACACUGGGACGUGAGACACGGCCCAGACUCCUACGGGAGGCAGCAGUGGGGAAUAUUGCACAAUGGGCGAAAGCCUGAUGCAGCGACGCCGCGUGAGGGAUGACGGCCUUCGGGUUGUAAACCUCUUUCAGCAGGGAAGAAGCGAAAGUGACGGUACCUGCAGAAGAAGCACCGGCUAACUACGUG